AGCAGGAUCUGCAGACAGCACUUGGCGGAGGCAGACUUCGCGAUGAAGGGCACUUUCGAUGUGGCAACCGGGAGUUUCCGAAUGGAAAGGAGUCAUAGGCCUACCUUGAUGCCCUCUGCUGCUUGCGCCUCCAUUUGACAUUUCGAGGGUUAUGGUGUAGGGGUUACCGACCGAUCAUCAUCAACAUCAAUGACUUUGGAGUCAAGCAAAAGCGACUGAACGGAGGAGGCGACGCGAGUCAAUGUAAUGGAGCCUGGGGCUACGUACAAAACCUGGUGGAUUUGUUGUUCAGCAGCAUUGUGGGAACCCCCCUACCAUAGCAGGAGCUGUUACAGAAGGCUGAGGCAGUGGACAGACACCAGUCCCGCUUCAGAGUAAUGGAGGACACUUGUGUCAGGAGCUGGGUCAGAUAUAGGAGCUGAAGUCGGGCUCCUUCAUGACCAGUGUCUGUGAUGAGAGGUGCCUGGAGCUGAUCUAUACUGCCAUGCUCCUCAGGUUUUGGCAGAAACCUCAGAAGGGACAAAAGGAUAUUACUAAUAAGACAGUACAGCACAAGUGUUUAGUAAUAUCACCUCUUCAAUACAUAUCUGAUGUCUGAAUUGGGAGAGACCUUGCACUCAGCAUUAAAAUGAUACAAGACACAUCUA